rnacentral:rRNA from 1 species
UACGUAGGGCGCAAGCGUUGUCCGGAAUUAUUGGGCGUAAAGAGCUCGUAGGCGGCUUGUCGCGUCUGUUGUGAAAGCCCGGGGCUUAACCCCGGGUCUGCAGUGGAUACGGGCAGGCUAGAGGCAGGUAGGGGAGAACGGAAUUCCCAAUGUAGCGGUGAAAUGCGUAGAUAUUGGGAGGAACACCAGUGGCGAAGGCGGCUACCUGGACCGGUUCUGACGCUGAGGCGCGAAAGCGUGGGUAGCAAACAGG